rnacentral:misc_RNA from 1 species
UGGAAAAGAUUGAUAUGGAUAAAAAAUAGUCACUGUUGAUAGUAUUGUGUUUUAGAGUUCUCAAAGUGUUGUCAUUAAAACAGGAGAUGGAGAAGAUUGGUGUUUUUUGGUUAAGACAUAUGAACAUAAACUUUCAACGUGUGGUUGAAGGCAUAGUUGAUAACAAAUUUACUUCGUAUCCAUCUUAAGUUGUAACCUUCAUUAUAGUUCAGAUAUGAGCAACAG